CGUCGAUUUGCCUCUAAUUAUGGCAAAGUUUCUACUAUUGAUUCUCACCUUCUUACAUUCUAAUUUAAAAAGUAUAGAAUAGGUAAAUAAACUUUGUGGUAGUUACUAGUUGGUUAUUGAUAAUCUUGAGAAUUAGAUUGAUGGCUAGGAAGUUUAGUGUCACGGACACAAAAUACAGACUUGAAAUCUAACAAGAAGUUCAAGAAGAAGUGGCAAAACUAGAUUAAACAGAUGAGUACAAGAACAACACCAGAAAGGU
rnacentral:lncRNA from 1 species